UUUCUUCUCCUCUUAAAUUUUCGUGUGGUCUCCCUCCAUCUACCUUAAUUCUUCAUUUUUAUUUCCCUAUUUAUGCUCUCUUAGAAAAUUGACAUCUUGAAGAAUUAUUGUUUUCUCUUGAAUGGCGAUGAUGGUUGUGGAGAUGAGCAUUGUAUGAAAUCAAGGGAGACUCACACACAACUCAUCUUCCAUGAUUUCCUCUCCAUUUCAAGUGUGGAAGGAGGAAGAUGAAGA
rnacentral:lncRNA from 1 species